rnacentral:rRNA from 1 species
UACGGGGGGGGCAAGCGUUGUUCGGAAUUACUGGGCGUAAAGGGCUCGUAGGCGGCCAACUAAGUCAGACGUGAAAUCCCUCGGCUUAACCGGGGAACUGCAUCUGAUACUGGAUGGCUUGAGUUCGGGAGAGGGAUGCGGAAUUCCCAGUGUAGCGGUGAAAUGCGUAGAUAUUGGGAGGAACACCAGUGGCGAAGGCGGCUCACUGGACCGGAACUGACGCUGAGGCGCGAAAGCGUGGGUAGCAAACAGG